rnacentral:rRNA from 1 species
AACGAACGCUGGCGGCAUGCCUAACACAUGCCAGUCGAACGAGACCUUCGGGUCUAGUGGCGCACGGGUGCGUAACGCGUGGGAAUCUGCCCUUGGGUUCGGAAUAACUCGCCGAAAGGCGUGCUAAUACCGGAUGAUGACGUAAGUCCAAAGAUUUAUCGCCCAAGGAUGAGCCCGCGUUGGAUUAGCUAGUUGGUGAGGUAAAGGCUCACCAAGGCGACGAUCCAUAGCUGGUCUGAGAGGAUGAUCAGCCACACUGGGACUGAGACACGGCCCAGACUCCUACGGGAGGCAGCAGUGGGGAAUAUUGGACAAUGGGCGAAAGCCUGAUCCAGCAAUGCCGCGUGAGUGAUGAAGGCCUUAGGGUUGUAAAGCUCUUUUACCCGGGAUGAUAAUGACCGUACCGGGAGAAUAAGCGCCGGCUAACUCCGUG